rnacentral:rRNA from 1 species
UACGUAGGGUGCGAGCGUUAAUCGGAAUUACUGGGCGUAAAGCGUGCGCAGGCGGUUUUGUAAGCCAGAUGUGAAAGCCCCGGGCUUAACCUGGGAAUGGCAUUUGGGACUGCAAGGCUUGAGUGCGGCAGAGGAGACUGGAAUUCCUGGUGUAGCAGUGAAAUGCGUAGAUAUCAGGAGGAAUACCGAUGGCGAAGGCAGGUCUCUGGGCUGACACUGACGCUCAUGCACGAAAGGCGUGGGGAGCAAACAGG